GUCCUAGGAAGCUGUUUGGUUUAGAAAAUCACAGGAGGAAGCUGAAGAGAAAACACAAACUAGAGACAAGUGGGGAAAGCUUUGCCCGGCUCUUCCCUGGAAUCCAGCUCGGCUCUGUUGGGGGUCAGUUGCUAGGGGUCAGUUUGGGGUUUCUGGCGUGAGUGGCCAUCUCCUGGGCAGGGUCACCUUCCAGGACAGAUCUGAAAGGGGAACACAGAUUUUUAUAAAUGAAGAUGAAUGUUGGCUCCACUGCCUCUGGAAAUAGGCAGAGAAUAUCUAUCAGGUUAAAGGGACGCCUGCCUGUCUCUGAAGCUGUGAGGAGACGAACAAAUGAAGGCGGAUGGAGCAGAGAGGGCGGGUCUGGGUCACCCCACACUCUGAGGAGCCCUGAGAUGACGUUUUGACCCCGAGUUCCCAGGGUUCACAGUCACAAGUUCCAGGCUUGGCCGCCAGCUCCUCACACCUCCGCAGUUCCCAGAGCCAAAGGGAACCCAUUGGAAUGUCAUUGUGUUCCCUGGGACAGCUUCAAGGACGGGGGAAGAAUCGGGCAGCGGGCCUUCUCCACCUCUCCACUCGAGUCCUGCUUGGCCAGGGCUGGCCUCGGUCCUCUCCUGUCAUCUGGACAACCAGCGUCAACUUUGGCCCCACUGACAUCAUGAAAAUGAACGUGUUAGUCACUCGGUCGUGUCCGACUCUUUGCAACCCUAUGGACGUAGCCCGCCAGCCUCCUCUGUCCUUGGGAUUCUCCAGGUAAGAAUAUUGGAUCAAGUAGUCAUUCCCUUCUCUAGAGGAUCUUCCCGACCCAAGGAUCGAACUUGGGUCUCCUGCAUUGCAGGCAGACUUUUGCCAUCUGAGCCACCAGGUGGAAUUUAGGGGGGUUCACUCUUUGUGGAGGGGGCUGUCUAAUGCACUAUAUGGUGUUUGGCAGCAUCCUUGGCCCCUACCCUCCAGGUGCCAAUAGCAACCCUCAACUGUAACUACCAGGGAUGUCUCAGACUUUGCCCACUAUCCCCUACAGGGGCAAAACCAUCCCCAGUUGAAACUCAUUGUUCUAAUCCAACACUCUCAUGACUGGGAGGAAGAGAGUGAGGUCCAAAGAGGUAAAGAUAUUUGCCCAAAGUAACACAGUGAGUCCAUAAAAGCGGAGCUGGAGCUCGACCUCUGGCCCUGCACCCCUAGAUUGGUGCUCUGCCCAUUGCAAAGACAGCAGCAGCUGUGAAGAGCACGGUUUUAAUGAAGGGUGCAACGUGAAUUCCUCCAAAGUCCAGUUCUCCCAUGGCAGUCACUGAGACUGCAGACACCCAGGCUGGGCAGAAAUGAGCCUCCUUGGCUGGACCAAGGAGCCAAGUGCGUUUGGAUUCCAGGCCCCGACACAGACUCUCCCCCGCCUGGUCCCACACAGAGAACACAGCCUUGCAGAUCCAGGCCUGGACAUCUGGACCAGAUAGUGACGGGCUCACCUCCAGAUGAUGCCCGGAUAAGUUCCAGCUGUUUCGCUGAGCCUCAUGGACUGUCUUCAUUGUCAUUGUCAUCAGCAAGAUCCAGACAUGACUGCAGGCUCCUCAAUAAACACUUUCCCAGUCGGCCAGAUCGGAUUUGAAGACGCGCUCUGGGAAAAGGCUGCUGACAGGAGCCCCCGGCCAGAAUCCUCUACCUGUCCUCCGACUCCCUUGGAGCGGCCGCAUCAGAGCCGGAUGGGGGUUUCUCAUCUUCCUCCACGUGAGUCCCGCAGCCUUGGGGUCUGCUCUUGUUCCAUCUCCCGCCUGCGGGCUGGACAACUGCAGACUAAGCUGUGGGGACCCCAGAGCCAGGGCGCCAGCUCUGCCACAGGCUGCCUGCCUGGCAGCGGGGAAGCUGUGGGACCUCUUUCAAUCUCAAGGUUUUAAGGGCAUGAUGGAACUUCCCUGGUGUCCAGUGGCUAAGACUCUGAGCUCCAAAUUCAGGGGGCCUGGGUUGAUCCCUGAUCAGGGACCUAGAUCUCACAGGCCCUGCUGCUAAGAGUUUGCAUCCCAUAACUAGGGUCCGGCACAGCC
ensembl:lncRNA